UGAUAAUCACUGGAGACAUCUAGCAAAUGCAUCAAAAAGCAAAGCAAGAAGUUCAGACCGAACAAGUUCUCCUCCAUGCCACCCAGCAGCAUUGGCUUGUCACCACAGAGUCCCUGUGUGGAUUACCUGUGCUGUUCAUAUGCUCACCUGUGGAUAGUAAGUUAUUCCGCUUGCAUGACAGACACGCUUGCUGCCAGCUAUGUUUCUUUGUGUGGGCUGCCCUGUUUUGCUACAGUACUGGUGGGAAUCGUGCCACUGGAGAAGGGACUGAGCCUGCAAACACCAAGAAAGAAACACAAAUCUUAUUUCUGCCUUCUUGAAAAACAGCCCAAGCACCACAAACAUUAUGAAGCAGGAAAAUAAACAUGAGCUGUUCCUACUUAUAGGUCAGGACAAGCUGAUUUUCACACACAGGUCUUUUCAUAGGACUUCCAAGUGUAGGGUAUCUGCAGAUUAAUAGCUGAUAAGUAGUUUUGAAAGCAGCUCUGAGGGAAGGUCUGUACAUUCAUUUGUGAAAUUCUGUUUGCUUAUAAGAUUACAGGAAACUAGUGCUGGAUAGUUGUUAAGCUGAGGACAAACUGGGAUUGCUGUAACUGCUGAUAAGAUCAGUAUAUUUCACACUGGACAUGAAGUAGGUUGAUGCUAAAUGGCUAAUUAGUUCAGAUAUUUAUUUUAAGCUACUUGUCUAUUUCUCUUUCCAUUGCAGCUUGCUUUUGGGAUCACAAGUUUGGGAAAACUGUUGUCAUUUAUAGUGUGUUUGUACCUAGGUCGCUGAAAGUGUGCAGUACAUACUUCCACAACAUGUAUUAAAUCAUAAAAUAAUAUGGGAGACAAGGAGAAAGGUUAAUGUUAGAAAUCUUAGCUUUUUAAAGUAAAAAGUCCUGUACAAUACCGAAGCCAGCAAAGGAGAAUCCUUCCCAUCCACUAUGAAGAGAGCCUUUUGUAAGUUAGUAAAUGACCCCUUGAGUUGAGACUCAAUGACUGAUUUUUCCAAGGCUCCUGUUAAAAAAAACAACAACAGCAAAAUCUUUGAUCUCAUAAAUCACAGUUAUUAUCCCAACUUUACGCCCUACAUUGUUCCGGUAUACAAUUUCUGGAAGUUCCUGUGGAAGUGACACCACAUCAGUGGUAACAUUCCCAAAUGUUACGUGACCUGCCAACAGCCCACCUUUACUAACACAUGCACAAUUCUGUGCCUCUGGCCCGCCACACUCAAAACAGCUCCUAUAGAGACUCAACUGAGUCUACUCUGGCAGUAAAUAUUCACUCAGCAAGGAUUAGAGACGCUGCCUAGGCAGCAUCUUCAUCUUAGUGCAUCAAAUGUGAUGCUGACACAGAUGGAAGAGGAGUAAUCCCAACCUAAAUCCAGGGCAAAGUGUGGUACGUGCUCGUCUGAACAACCGAUCAGCACCGACUUCUCUAUCCACUGUUCUGUCUCUUUGAAUUUCUCCAGGAUCCUUUUAAUCUCUAAACAGCAGGGGAAAGGGGAAGAAAAAUCUGUGAUGAAAGCACAUUCAUACAACCAUUAUGCUCUCUCUGGAUCUUCAAGGCAUAUGCUAUCUUGGCUCAGAGCAGGGUGCUCAUGUGAGAGAGGGAACUAGACAAGUGGUCCCACGUGAAUGGAGACCAGAAGUCUGGCUUUCCUCUUAGCUCUUGGAAUUUUUGACCAUGUCAAGCUAAAGAUGGAAAUGCUGUAAUACCUUGGGAGCAGCUGUCCAUUCUAUUUCUGUCCUACACUAGCCAACACCUUUCUCUCAUUGAAAAUUUCUCCUGUGUUACACCAAAUAACCUUUAUCAGAUAGACCUGGCAUUUUCCCUGCCAGCCCUUUCUCUUCAGUAGGCAUGGUUCCAAAUGUUUAAAAAUGAUCAUCACAAAACACAUCAGGUAUAUGUUGAUACUGUAAGUGUGUGAAGAGCAUGAACUUGUGUCUGCCUGUCAAGGUUUUAAGUCUGAAUAGUCUUUGGUUGUUAACAAAGAGUGUGCAGGAUAUUCCUGCACAGCUUGAUAGAUUUUCAACACCCAUACGAGGGGUUGCUUAUUGCAAAGGACUCUCUAUCGUUUCAGUUGUGUGAUCCAGGAGGUAUUUCCAAACACCUGCUUACCUGCUGCACUGAGCUGUGGUACGAAAUAUUUUUCCCCAACUUUCUGCAGGAAGGGAGAGAGAUUGUGAAAGAGGUAGAAAGUUCCUGAGGUCUGGGCUUGUCUACAAAGGCUGUCAUCUUCCUUUAACUCAUUUAAGUAUCUGAAGUGAGAGAAGAAUUGGGAAGAUGAAUUCAAGAUCAUGUUGAGAUCACCUUGUUAUGCUUAAUUGGACAUACUUACGUUCCAUAGAGCAGGGGGAAGAAAUGGACAGAACAGAUUUUAUGUAUUCCAUAUGCUUCUAGAGUUUCUGACAGCUGAGUCUACUCAUUGGUGGACUGUAGACAUUAGCAAAGGUGCCACGUGGCAGAAAAUCCUGCAGUUGUUACUACAGAAGCAGCCUCAGGUCUUGGACAUCCAAGAACAGUAACCUAGUCUAUUAAUCCAAGAAGUCUGCUUUACAGACAUGAUCAUUUAUGUGCAUGAGACCUUCAUCUUCCCUUUUAUCCUCCCAAUCUAGAUGGCUCCAAGUCCUGUUUUGGAAAGCUACUUGAGCACUUCAGAUAUGGAAUACGCUUCCCAUCAGGCUACAUGCAUUACUGCAGGAUACGUUCUACCUGUCACACUGACAUGAGAGGUAAAGACCAAGCUGAAGUCUUACGGCUCAGUUGGCUGGGGCCUGAAUUAGGAAAAGCAAGUCACUGGAAAAAGGGUGUCAGAAUGUGCUGCUUUCAGACUGUUUGAAGUAGUAUUUAAAAAGAGUUGAGCAGCAUUGCUUCAAGUUUGUUUGUACUUUGAGAUCUUUUGCUAGGACAGCAAACUUAGGCAUUUAUUAACAGAGCUUCAGCCUCAGAGAACCAGUUCUUAUCACUGGUGAACAGAGUGGAGACAUUACUGUUACCAUUUACAGAGCUCUCAUAGCAUUACUACAUCAUUGUUCAGCUCUGAAAAGAUUUAGGUAGGGCUGCUUGUGAAGGUGGAUACAAGGGUACCAAACUCUGGUCUUCUCACUGUACACAAGAACUUACCUCAUUUUUCUAACAUAGGUAGAGUGUAACCUGCAGAUGAGAGAGGAAGCUCUUCUAUACGCUGCUUGAUAAAUUGCAGCCAUAACCAACACCUAAAGGUAGCUGUCUCUGCCUAAAAAGAGAAGCAUAGAAUAUAAUGCAGAGGCCCUACAAAUUUAAGUUUGAUUUAAAGGUGCAAACACCCACUAGCAGAAAUCUCCCUCUCACAGAGUCUGCAGAAUGCUGGCAUCUGCUUUCUAAAAUUACUGCUUUGGUCUUCACUCCUAGUCGCACAUCAAAUCCAGUUUCAGGCAAUGUUUAAGAUUAUUAAAAGAUACCUCAGUUUGUUUCCAUCUGUGACUGUGCACAAGUCUUACAGAAACUGCAGUAAGGCUACAUUGAACGUUCCUGUCCUAAAUGCCUGUAUCCCUGGGGAAAAGAGGAGUGAAGGUGGCUGCUCUCUUUUUUGUUUCCUACACAGUUUGUAAUGGCCUCAAUCCAACUGAAAAUCCUAUUGCAGUACACAGUAGAUCUGUGGGAAAGGCACGGAUGCCAGAAGAGAAUGAAAGACAAAAUAUCAGCUGUGGAAGAGAAUUCCCCAAGUUAGACAAGAGACAGCAGUUGCAGCUGACUUGGAUCAUCUCCAGCUAUGAAUGCUUUUUGUGCUAAACAGUCCUACCACAUUUUCAGCUCAGGCAGUCACAGACUGCAGUCUGAUCUCAACUUGAGGAUGUCAGAAAAUAGCCAGAAAUGCUACCAUCUCUAGCAUUCAUCUGAAAAAAUAAAUAUGAUUCAUAAUCCUUAAUAAUUAUUAGGAUUAUUUCACUUUUCAACCAUAGAACUCGGAGCUCCUUAAGGAGGAAGUUACAUUUGCUUUGAAUUACAGACACAAAAGCAGUGCCAAAGAGUCCUGAGAGUCCUUCCUUUCAGUAAAGGUCAGUGAUGGCUCCAGAGCCUGAGUGAUGCCUGAGCCGAGGCUCCCAUCUGCACAUGCAGUUUUUGUAGCAAGCAGCAUGGAGGCUGUGCCUUGCAGCUUCUGACAUCUUUGCCUCAGAUCCUCUUUCCCAGUGUCUCAGCUGAGUGUGGUCUUCACCAGGGUGAUCCCUGGUGAGACAGGGGAGCCAGGCCUGCUGCAGAAGCUGCUGGGGAGAGCAUUGGCAUCCCUGCUCAGUGCUGCAGCCACAGCAAUGGGAGCUCGGCAUGCUGCCAGCAGGCUCAGGCAGAAGCAUGGGAGGACUGACACCAACACGGAGACCACGUCUGAAACAGUUGUGUGGUGUGAUGAUUAUGUGUCCGUCACUUCUCCACCCCCACAUCUCAUAGAGCCUUGGCUUGUGAAAAUCUGCAGAACAGCAGCAGCCUGUGCUGAAUUCAGGAGCUCUGUACUUUGGAAUGAACAGCAGAGUGCGACUGGGGCAGGGAAAGAGGAAUAGCUUGUACUUGCAAUAAUGAAAUGCAACAUGUGCAGGCGUUUAACCCCUUCCUUCCUAGGAACCACAGUGCCAGAGUUUGGUUAGGAUCAUUGGAAACUUGGAGACAGUAAAAACUUCAUCUCGGGAGGCCAGCCCAAACUCCCAUCUUGCCUUUAAAUCUCACCUAUGCUGUACAGCUGGCAGGAGGUAGAUCUAGGCCUGUCAUUCCCCACACGUUUUCCCCACUUACUGUGCUCAGUGCAGGGGUGCUGUGUCCAGCAGCAGGGAUGAGCUAGCUGUGAGAGUCCCGCGUUGCCCUCGGUUAGCAGCCCUGCUCCUACAACAAACAGCGGAGCAGCUGGCUCCCUGGGUCUGACUCGCUUUUCCCCCACUGGGGGCGCUGGGAAAUGUAGUUCUGCCCAUGCUGCUCGCAAGCCAUUGGCAAAGAUAGAUGGCUGGGUUUUGAUUAACUUCAGGAGUUAGUGAGGAUGCCUGACAGCAAACUCUUUUUAUUUUCCAUACCUGCUUAAUUCUAUCAGGAAACCAGAUGCUGUGUUUUACCAUGCAGAGACAUGAGAACAAUGCUACUGCAGGAAUCUGUGCUGUUCUAGCAGAGAAGUUUGUUCCUGGUAGUUUCUUUCCUUUUUUUCUUCUAAGCUUCUCUGUGUUUUUUUAUCAGUAACAUAAAAGCGCUGUUUAAAGUUAAGAACCAUAUGGCUUCAAACAGCAAAAUAUGCCAAGAGCUGUGUAUAUACCUAAAGGAAGGAGCUGUUUAUAGUGUUGAAGCACCCAAAGCCACAGUUAAAUUUGUACAUGAAUAGUGCUGAUCAGAAAGUGUGCUUUGCCAAGAUAGAUGUCAGAAUAAUGACAAAUUAUUCUCAUGCCUUUAUAGCUGAACAAACAGAUUCCUCCCAAGUACUGAAAACAUUAUUCUGGGCUGGAACCUACCUGCCUAUAUUUAGCACAAAGAGAAUUUUAUAAACAUAUGAAAGUAAGUGUUUUGCUUUUUGGUCAUAAAUUGAGACAUUCUAGUCGAGAAUUCACAUCAUGUAAUUUGAGAGCAUAGCUUGUAAAAAUAAUAAAUAGAACAUGCAGGAAAAUA